CCUACGGGAGGCAGCAGUGAGGAAUAUUGGUCAAUGGACGAGAGUCUGAACCAGCCAAGUAGCGUGAAGGAUGACUGCCCUAUGGGUUGUAAACUUCUUUUAUAAAGGAAUAAAACGAGGCACGUGUGCCUUUUUGCAUGUACUUUAUGAAUAAGGAUCGGCUAACUCCGUGCCAGCAGCCGCGGUAAUACGGAGGAUCCGAGCGUUAUCCGGAUUUAUUGGGUUUAAAGGGAGCGUAGAUGGGUUGUUAAGUCAGUUGUGAAAGUUUGCGGCUCAACAGUAAAAUUGCAAUUGAUACUGGCAGUCUUGAGUACAGUUGAGGUAGGCGGAAUUCGUGGUGUAGCGGUGAAAUGCUUAGAUAUCACGAAGAACCCCGAUUGCGAAGGCAGCUUACUAAACUGUGACUGACAUUGAUGCUCGAAAGCGCGGGUAUCGAACAGGAUUAGAUACCCCAGUAGUC
rnacentral:rRNA from 1 species